GACGAACGCUGGCGGCGCGCUUAACACAUGCAAGUCGAACGGAAAGGCCUGCUUUCCCUUGUGGAUUGCGGGUACUCGAGUGGCGAACGGGUGAGUAACACGUGAGUGAUCUGCCCCCAACUUGGGUAUAAGCCUGGGAAACUGGGUCUAAUUCCCGAUAGGACUGCAGGGUGGUGCCUGUGGUGGAAAACGAUUUUCUAGUGGUUGGGGAUGAGCUCGCGGCCUAUCAGCUUGUUGGUGGGGUAAUGGCCUACCAAGGCGGCGACGGGUAGCCGGCCUGAGAGGGUGGACGGCCACAUUGGGACUGAGAUACGGCCCAGACUCCUACGGGAGGCAGCAGUGGGGAAUAUUGCACAAUGGGCGUAAGCCUGAUGCAGCGACGCCGCGUGGGGGAUGACGGCCUUCGGGUUGUAAACUCCUUUCGACCGCGAGGAAGCCACCUGGUUGGAAGGGUGGUGACGGUAGUGGUAGAAGAAGCACCGGCUAACUACGUG
rnacentral:rRNA from 1 species